GUUUGAUCCUGGCUCAGGACGAACGCUGGCGGCGUGCUUAACACAUGCAAGUCGAGCGGUAAGGCCUCCUUCGGGGGGUACACGAGCGGCGAACGGGUGAGUAACACGUGGGUGACCUGCCCUCAGCUCUGGGAUAAGCCUGGGAAACCGGGUCUAAUACCGGACGGGACUGCUUGCCGCAUGGUGGGUGGUGGAAAGUUUUUUCGGCUGGGGAUGGGCCCGCGGCCUAUCAGCUUGUUGGUGGGGUGAUGGCCUACCAAGGCGGUGACGGGUAGCCGGCCUGAGAGGGCGACCGGCCACACUGGGACUGAGACACGGCCCAGACUCCUACGGGAGGCAGCAGUGGGGAAUAUUGCGCAAUGGGCGGAAGCCUGACGCAGCGACGCCGCGUGGGGGAUGACGGCCUUCGGGUUGUAAACCUCUUUCGCCAUCGACGAAGCCUCUCGGGGUGACGGUAGGUGGAGAAGAAGCACCGGCCAACUACGUGCCAGCAGCCGCGGUAAUACGUAGGGUGCGAGCGUUGUCCGGAAUUAUUGGGCGUAAAGAGCUCGUAGGCGGUGUGUCGCGUCGGUCGUGAAAACUUGGGGCUUAACCCUGAGCGUGCGGUCGAUACGGGCAUCACUGGAGUUCGGCAGGGGAGACUGGAAUUCCUGGUGUAGCGGUGAAAUGCGCAGAUAUCAGGAGGAACACCGGUGGCGAAGGCGGGUCUCUGGGCCGAUACUGACGCUGAGGAGCGAAAGCGUGGGGAGCGAACAGGAUUAGAUACCCUGGUAGUCCACGCUGUAAACGGUGGGCGCUAGGUGUGGGGGCCAUUC
rnacentral:rRNA from 1 species